GACGAACGCUGGCGGCGUGCUUAACACAUGCAAGUCGAGCGGUAAGGCCCUUUCGGGGGUACGACGAGCGGCGAACGGGUGAGUAACACGUGGGUGACCUGCCUUUAGUCUCUGGGAGUAAGCCUGGGAAACGUGGGUCUAAUAACCGGAUAUGACUCCAUGAUGCAUGUUGUGGGGUGGAAAGCCUUGUGCGGCUGGAGAUGGGCCCGCGGCUAUCAGCUUGUCGGUGGGGUGAUGGCCUACCAAGGCGACGACGGGUAGCCGGCCUGAGAGGGCGACCGGCCACACUGGGACUGAGACACGGCCCAGACUCCUACGGGAGGCAGCAGUGGGGAAUCUUGCGCAAUGGGCGAAAGCCUGACGCAGCGACGCCGCGUGAGGGAUGACGGCCU
rnacentral:rRNA from 1 species